GGCCCCUUCAUCUAGCGGUCCAGGAUGCAAGGUUUUCAUCCUUGUCACAGGGGUUCGAGUCCCCUAGGGGUCA
rnacentral:tRNA from 1 species